CUCGUAGGCGGCCCUCUCAGUCGGACGUGAAAUCCCUCGGCUUAACCGGGGAACUGCGUCCGAUACUGGAGGGCUCGAGUGUGGGAGAGGGAUGCGGAAUUCCAGGUGUAGCGGUGAAAUGCGUAGAUAUCUGGAGGAACACCGGUGGCGAAGGCGGCAUCCUGGACUACUACUGACGCUGAGGAGCGAAAGCCAGGGGAGCAAACG
rnacentral:rRNA from 1 species